UACGUAGGGGGCAAGCGUUGUCCGGAAUUAUUGGGCGUAAAGAGCGUGUAGGCGGUCCGGUAAGUCAGCUGUGAAAGUCAAGGGCUCAACCCUUGAAAGCCGGUUGAUACUGUCGGGCUAGAGUCCGGAAGAGGCGAGUGGAAUUCCCGGUGUAGCGGUGAAAUGCGCAGAUAUCAGGAAGAACACCCAUGGCGAAGGCAGCUCUCUGGGACGGUACUGACGCUAAGACGCGAAAGCGUGGGGAGCGAACAGG
rnacentral:rRNA from 1 species